GACGAACGCUGGCGGCGUGCUUAACACAUGCAAGUCGAACGGAAAGGCCCCUUUGGGGGUACUCGAGUGGCGAACGGGUGCGUAACACGUGAGUAACCUGCCCUUGACUUCGGGAUAACUUCAGGAAACUGGGGCUAAUACCGGAUAGGAAUCCUUGCUGCAUGGUGGGGGUUGGAAAGCUUCGGCGGUUUUGGAUGGACUCGCGGCUUAUCAGCUUGUUGGUGGGGUAGUGGCUUACCAAGGCUUUGACGGGUAGCCGGCCUGAGAGGGCGACCGGCCACAUUGGGACUGAGAUACGGCCCAGACUCCUACGGGAGGCAGCAGUGGGGAAUAUUGCACAAUGGGCGGAAGCCUGAUGCAGCAACGCCGCGGGCGGGAGGACGGCCUUCGGGUUGUAAACCGCUUUCAGCAGGGGCGAAGCUUGUGGUGACGGUACCUGCAGAAGAAGCACCGGCUAACUACGUG
rnacentral:rRNA from 1 species